rnacentral:misc_RNA from 1 species
UUAUCCGUGAGGGGUUUUUCGGAGCUCGGCGGUUUGAGGAAUUUCGCUCGGCUCUCGAAAUUUCCAGAGCAACUCUGACGGAUCGUCUACGCUGCUUGACCCGCGAGGGAAUAUUUCGGGAGAUCAGCUAUUCCGAAACAUCGAGCCGCGUUGAAUACAAGCUGACGAAGUCGGGUAUCGAUCUCUACCCCACCUUCAUGG